UCCUGCAGAAUGAUGUGGAUAAAAUAUGAUUGGGCUCCUUAAUUGACAGAAGCCUAUGCCAGAUGGCUGAAAUGCCACUUUCGUUUUGGGAAGAAAGGAAGCCUUCAUGGGAAGGAGGGACUCUUGCGACUACAAGAUGAGGACCACCGGGGUUCAGGGAGCUACCAUACAGAUCAGCCAAGGUCACGCAAUCGGUUGCUUUGCCUGGAUGUCAACUCUGGCUAUUUAACUAAACAGCUCUGGAUCCCAGCCACUGUCCUCUGCCACUUGCUGUCUGGUGGAAUAUUAAGAAGUCUCUAGCAUCUUCCUGGCUGCCUUACCCUAUCCAAAGAUGUCUAUACUAAGAAGCCAAAGUAAAGAGAUGUAAUGUAGACCACAAGCAGUCGCUCAGAAAUCCUGACUUGUAUCGACUGAGACACCUUCCCAGGAAGAAAGCAGGGAUUAAAGAUGCGGCUUAUCAGUUCCUCUCUGGCUGCUGCACCAGGCAAAGAUGAGAGACCUAAGUUAAAGAAAGGAGGGGGAGGGGAGAGGGGAGACGAGAGAUGAGAGAGAGAGAGAG